rnacentral:rRNA from 1 species
UGAGUAAUACAUCGGAACGUGUCUUCUAGUGGGGGAUAACUGCCCGAAAGGGCAGCUAAUACCGCAUGAGACCUGAGGGUGAAAGCGGGGGAUCGUAAGACCUCGCGCUGGAAGAGCGGCCGAUGUCCGAUUAGCUAGUUGGUGAGGUAAAGGCUCACCAAGGCGGCGAUCGGUAGCUGGUCUGAGAGGACGACCAGCCACACUGGGACUGAGACACGGCCCAG